GCAGCAGCCGCGGUAAUACAGAGGGUGCGAGCGUUAAUCGGAUUUACUGGGCGUAAAGCGUGCGUAGGCGGCUUUUUAAGUCGGAUGUGAAAUCCCUGAGCUUAACUUAGGAAUUGCAUUCGAUACUGGGAAGCUAGAGUAUGGGAGAGGAUGGUAGAAUUCCAGGUGUAGCGGUGAAAUGCGUAGAGAUCUGGAGGAAUACCGAUGGCGAAGGCAGCCAUCUGGCCUAACACUGACGCUGAGGUACGAAAGCAUGGGGAGCAAACAGGAUUAGAUACCCCUGUAGUCCCUGUCUCUUAUAC
rnacentral:rRNA from 1 species